rnacentral:misc_RNA from 1 species
GAACCAAAAUCCGAGUCAUUGGUUUCAAUUUUUAUUAUUCUCGGUUACUGAAAUCCAAACACCAAUUCUCGACUCCAAAUGACCAAAAAAUUAGACACUACAAAAGACCCCAGUAAUCAUGGCUUUGUCGCGCGUUCUUGCCUUGGGCGCAGUGGCAACAAUUCCUUGGCUGAAGGAAUUCUUCCAGCCCAGUGCGUUCAGCUCCUCGUUCUCACAAAACAAUCUCUGCAUUCCCCUAACAAUUCUCAUGAGACCCAGACCUCCAACUUUUAAACAAUAAGAACCUUCUCUUAGUACUCGAAUUUACCCCGAAAAAAGAGAAAUCCCAAAAUUCACGUUCACAUGCUCAAGCUGGAAGAUAAGAUAUUAGAUUAACAAGAAAAAUUAGAAAUGGAGGUGGUGAGAUCUGAAAAAGCUGAAAGGAAAUUAAGGAUAAAGAGAGAGGGAAAUUGGGG